AAAUCAAUUUUUUAACAAUGUUUAAAGCUAGAAGUUAAAUGAUUAUAAAAUACACACAUUUUUAGUAUAAUAUAAAACUAUAAAUCAAUCCUUAAACAUUUUAUACAUAAAUACACAAUUCUUAAAUAUAUCUUGGCUUAAACAAAUAUUACACAAUUUAUAUAAUACACAAAAUUUAAAUAAAUAUUCAAGCCAAAUUUAUAGGAGUAAGGGAAGAAAAUUUGAAAAAUUGGACUGAUCGAUCUCAAGUAGACAUAACACAAAAUUCAAAUCAGUUUUCAAAAGUAUGAUCGUAUUACUAGGUCCAUCGGAGUUUUGUAUAGGCAAUAUUCAAAGGUUUUGUUUUGCAGACGUAUUUACUUGAAGACGCGUAUUUCACUGAAAUAUUGAAUGAUCCGGAUCGAUCCGGGAUAACUGUAAAUAUUUUUGAUAUGAUGUUCAUUGGUGUCAAAUAAAAUGUGGAAACGUGGAACAUAAUAAAUAAAAUAUUUUAUAUUGCAAUAUGUGUGAGCACACACUGAAUAAUAAUAACAAUUUAAUGAAUUAUAUCACACAAAUACGCUGUUAUAUUAUACAUUAAUACAUUUUAAUAUAAUAGACGAAUAAAAUAAUUUUAAAUACUUAAA